rnacentral:lncRNA from 1 species
UAAAAUCCUUUCAGAUGUGUUCUUUGCAACAUGCCCACAUGCCUUACAACAAAUCUGUUACUUAAAUUUGGAAUGUAGCCAUAGACUUUUGGCAAUAAGGCUGUAAUUCUUUUGGCACCCUUAAAUAAAUGCAAUACUAAGCCUGCCUUUAAUGGAUUCUGCUUGGUGUGCAGACUGACCCAAAUAUAAGCUGGAGGGGAGCUGUAAGGGAUGCAGAGGAGACCCAAGAAGUUCCUGCCAGUGGGCUGUGGAAAUUUCAUCUGGUCUCGGGCAAAAAAAGUAAGCCGCCACCAUGAGUACGGACGCGGAGAUGGCCGUUUACGG